CUAAGUGAACAGCCCUCAAACUCUGUUCCACUAUACUGAGCUCCAUUUCCCUAUACCUGGAUUUGCACAGGCGUUUCCCAAAGGAAGUAAGAGUUCCCAGUAUUGUUCCCAUAGCUCCAGCUGCACUGAGGAACUCAGAACUUUGAACUGAGGAACUCAGAACUUUGAACUGAGGAACUCAGAACUUUCUAUAGAAAGGACAGAGGAACCUGGGCUUUUCUAGGCUGAUUUGGAUGUGGAAAAGCUAUGCCAGACAUUCCCAAGGCACUAGAUAGCUAUAAAGGAAAGAGAUAGAUCAGGAUCCUAGCCAUGGGCACUGAAAAGUGUUGAGUGUCACCAGGGUCAGGGGCUUCUGUAGUCACCCCUGGGCUCCAAUAACCAAGCAAGGUUGGCAGCAGGGCCACAGGGCCUGAAGUCCCACUUUCCCACUCUCAUAUAGGCAUUGUCUCAUCUUUUUGAAUUGAUGGGGUUGUCUUGAUAGGCCAGAGCAAAUCACGUGAUUAUCAUUGAGAAUGACAUCCAUUCUGAAGAUACCUUUCAGGAUGACUUCAGGACUAGAAAUAGUAUCUGGCUUGUUUCUAGUACAUUUUACCUAAAGUUUCAUGUAUGAAUGGGAGAACGAAAGCCUCAGAUUGUCAACUAACUCUACCAAGUCUUACAAUAGUUCAGUGUUCAUCCAAAAAUCAAAUCCAUAAUUCCAGAUCAUUUCUUCAAUUCCUUCAACUCUUCUUUGAAGCUGAGACCCAGACUCUCGUCUGAUUUUCUAAGCCAGGCAAGACUGAUCAAGAAUCCUACAAGAAGAAAGUUUUCAGAAUCCUGACCUCACUCCAGCAGAAACGUUGCUGGUGACAAUGUUCUGGAAGACACCUCAGCAUGAAUCUCUGGAGCCAGCAUCUGGUACCACUGCCAUCUAUGGGGUGAAUACUGCAAUUAAGAGCCUGACCCUCUAUGGUGAAUAAAAAGGUUGUGAAAUUAUAUGUAGCAGUGAAGAGUGUGUUGGAAUUAAUAUUUGUACAGCUUAUGAAUAUAAGUGUCAGAGGGAAGAGACUUUCAAAUUUCAUAUACCCAAUUCCCCCUAACUCCACAGAGAUCAGUUGAAGACAGAUCAUGUUUUGUUGCUGCAAGACCCCGGAACAGAAAAUCUAACACCUUACUGGUUUAGAACUUACUAGAAGUAAAACUGAAAGCACAACAGAGUUCCUUCACUUGUACAUUCCGCCUCAGAUACUCAUCCUGCCGUCCUAGGACUUCAACCAUGCCUCCAUCUGAAAUCCUAGGUUAGCUUUCCAUCACUCUCCAUCCACCACUCCCAUUCUUGGGUGACCACUGCCUUUCUCCGGGGACCAUGAGCUGACAAAUUUCGCUCCUUUGUUAUAAGCUUGGCUCACUGAGGCAAAGGUCCCUUCUUUGGGCUCCCAUUUUUUGAGGCAUGUUAUGUAAGAAGAUGGCUGCCUAAACCAACCAGCUCCUCACACUUGAUCCAUGGAUAUCAAUGUCACUGCCAUUGAGGAGGUGCCAGCCCUCUGUCCUGAGACUCAUUGCAGAAGAAGGCUGCCUUGCAUAUACACACAUGUUGUACUUGAA
ensembl:lincRNA